GCGUGCCUAAUACAUGCAAGUCGAGCGGACCGGAUCGGAGCUUGCUCUGGUUUGGUCAGCGGCGGACGGGUGAGUAACACGUGGGCAACCUGCCCGCAAGACCGGGAUAACUCCGGGAAACCGGAGCUAAUACCGGAUAACACCGAAGACCGCAUGGUCUUUGGUUGAAAGGCGGCCUUUGGCUGUCACUUGCGGAUGGGCCCGCGGCGCAUUAGCUAGUUGGUGAGGUAACGGCUCACCAAGGCGACGAUGCGUAGCCGGCCUGAGAGGGUGACCGGCCACACUGGGACUGAGACACGGCCCAGACUCCUACGGGAGGCAGCAGUAGGGAAUCUUCCGCAAUGGGCGAAAGCCUGACGGAGCGACGCCGCGUGAGCGAAGAAGGCCUUCGGGUCGUAAAGCUCUGUUGUGAGGGACGAAGGAGCGCCGUUCGAAGAGGGCGGCGCGGUGACGGUACCUCACGAGGAAGCCCCGGCUAACUACGUGCCAGCAGCCGCGGUAAUACGUAGGGGCGAGCGUUGUCCGGAAUUAUUGGGCGUAAAGCGCGCGCAGGCGGUCUCUUAAGUCUGAUGUGAAAGCCCACGGCUCAACCGUGGAGGGUCAUUGGAAACUGGGGGACUUGAGUGCAAGAGAGGAGAGCGGAAUUCCACGUGUAGCGGAGAAAUGCGUAGAGAUGUGGAGGAACACCAG
rnacentral:rRNA from 1 species